GUGACACGUGGACUUUUGGGUUAAAAAGAUAAAAUUACCUUGGAGGCAAUUGGAAUUUCCAUACACAUGCAACAGACAAUAUCGGCUCAAUCAAGAAAGAAUCAAAGGUGAUCAAAAUUGUAUUUAUUCAAAACCCUCUCAUCACUUCUCAUCAAAUCCUCACUUAAAAGGUAACUCCCAAUUAUCCUAUUUCAUUUAGGAAUGAUUACCAAAUUAAUUGCAAGAUAUUAUUUCACAUAAUAUCUUGCAAUUAAACUCAUAAUACCACCAUAAGUGGCCGGGCUUAUUGUCCAAAUAGGGCCGGCCACUCUCUUAUAAAUGGUCCCAUUUUCUCCACCAAAAAACGAAGUUCAUUCUCUUCCUAAAAAUUCCCUAAACACUUUCUCUCUCGAGUUCUAACGUUGGCAUCGGAGAUUCUUCGGCCAAACCCCCCCUAAUUGAUUGUGGGUGUGUGAGGCUCUUGGUCUUGAUCUUAGGUGUUAUUAUUUUGCAUGUGCAUUUUCGUCAAAUGAGAAGACGCCGGAAAUUUGCAUCCAUAUAAAAGAUUUUAGGUUGUUAGAUUUGGAUUGAUUAUGGCGCUAGGACUAUUAUUAAUGUUGGUAAAUAAGAGCACAGGGGACACCAAUCUAACUCCACUAUUGUUACAAAUGAUGACGAUGAAGAAGAAAAAUGAUUUUGAUUAUUUAUAUUAUACGGUGAAAUUAUCCCGUCAAUGAGAAAAAGAGAGCUGGAAAAAAGGAAAGUCUACCGUUAAUCACAUUAAAUAUAACAAAAAUAAAAAGGACAAAAGAAUACCAUAUUAAAAUAUGAUAUGCCUUUACCUGGCUAGGUCAUUUCCUAAUAAUUACCUAAUUAAUUUAUUAAGAACCAGUUAAUACUCAAUGUUUGCAGCAUGACUGCAAAUAAUGUGCAAAUUGCAGCACUACUGUUACGUUUAUGGCCGCUGGAUUAGGAUCUUGUAACAGGUUGGUCUGUGAUCAGUAU
rnacentral:lncRNA from 1 species